UAUCUCACUUGAUCCUUACGAAAACUCUG
rnacentral:piRNA from 1 species